rnacentral:rRNA from 1 species
UGGGGAAUAUUGGACAAUGGGCGGAAGCCUGAUCCAGCAACGCCGCGUGAGGGAUGACGGCCUUCGGGUCGUAAACCUCUUUCAGUACCGACGAAGCGAAAGUGACGGUAGGUACAGAAGAAGGACCGGCCAACUACGUGCCAGCAGCCGCGGUAAUACGUAGGGUCCGAGCGUUGUCCGGAAUUAUUGGGCGUAAAGGGCUCGUAGGCGGUUUGUCGCGUCGGGAGUGAAAACCAUGGGCUUAACUCAUGGCUUGCUUUCGAUACGGGCAGACUAGAGGUAUGCAGGGGAGAAUGGAAUUCCUGGUGUAGCGGUGAAAUGCGCAGAUAUCAGGAGGAACACCGGUGGCGAAGGCGGUUCUCUGGGCAUUACCUGACGCUGAGGAGCGAAAGUGUGGGGAGCGAACAGG